CCAGGGCCAAUUAAAAUAAAAUUUUGCAAUACCACUGCCAAUUACAUACAGCUCUGGGAUUAGACGCGGUAGAGAAGGCAGAACCAUAUUUGUACAGUCACAAGAGCACCACACCUACAGAGAUGGCCUUGACAAUUUGAUCUUCGGUGAGUCCACCCGCCUGCAGAAAUUAACCUGUCAUGGUGCAGUGGGGUCACUGAGGGUGGAUCUGAAGUAUUCUGAGAGUAUUGCUCAGGACCAUUACAGACCAUGUCGCAUCUCCUCUUCCAUUUCUAUUUCUCAGCUGUCACCAAGGUAAAUCCGUUGCCAUGGCCACAACGAGCCCGGAUUUAAUUCCUUGAACCGGUUUCUGAUUGGCUCAGGUCUUUGUUUCCAACAAACACGGGAAAGUCUACCUCCAGGCUCCCCCUGCUGGGAGAAUGAACUCAACAUAAAACAAGUAAAACGUUUAUAUAUAAACAUAUACCUCCACAUUGUCAUUGAACAGGUUAGAUUGUGGAAAACGAUACACUGUUGAAAUCAGUUAUUGUAAACCCAACUUCCCUAUCCCUUAUCCUGAGAAAUCACCUGUGUAUAAUUUGUAUAUAUGAAAUGGCCCAGGGUUAGAUUGUGUAUUUACCACAGUGGCAUAAUAUACAGAUUUAGAGUGUGGAUUCUGGCCAUGGUUUUCCUGGAAGUGUCAUCCUUUGGGAGUUACUGCUAAUGUGGUUCUGACAAACUCUAAAAAUGUCUCAAGGAGAGCUACUAACCUACAUUUACUGGGUAAAGAGGAGGAGGAAAAGCAGAGAAAACAGGGAACCAGAAGAAAAUUGGACCGCUUUUGUAUUUAUCCUUUCCAAACACUUAAGUCUUGGACUUCAGACAUACACCAACUUUCACUUUUAUUGGUUAUCAGGUGCUGACAACAAGAUGGACGAGGAGGAGAGAAGAGUGAUGAUAGGUCCUAUCUGAUACGCUUCCAUUGAUGUGCUUUGCGUGGCUUAUUAGGCUUCUAGCAGACUUUGUCUCACCUUGCAUUAAGGCAAAUAAACUCAAAGAAUAAUGUUAAACGACUCUACGACUGUACUUUCCAUGGCAAAAAUCUUUGAGCAGAAAAAAAUGGUAAAGGUGGAAAGCCAAAACAAUUACACAUAAGUGAUGUUUUCAUGUUGCCACUCUGAGAAUACAGUCAGCUUUAUUAAACAAGGUGUUAUGUUUGGUUAACAAAACGACACGCAACAAAGAGCUCAGAGAUUUUAAUGUGAAAAUUGCCAGCAGAAAAACUCAGAAUGAUGCAGAAUGAAAUUCAAAAAUAUUUCUAUCAAGUAUGGAGUUUAGUCUCCUCCAUUGGAUAAAUCUGCAAUGAUCCACCUGCAGAUUAUUCAUUCAUUAGUCUGUGUAUCAAACCAGAUCAGAAAGGAGAUUUCUAGAGUAGUUAAGACAGACUAACAAAUCAAACCUCCCCCAGAUUGAUUCAUCUGAAGCUCCAAACAAAAUCCACGUCCAGAUGUCUAAAAAACUUGACUUCCAGGGUUGCUCUCCAAAUGUUCACUCCACCUGCUGGUAGUCCUUGGAGAUGGGCUUAGGGCUGGCUUCCUCCCAAAACAAUCAGCUGACUCUUCAGGAAUGAAUCUAAGGCAGUGAGGUACAGGCAAAGCUAAAUUGGACUGGAAUUUUAAUUAAAGCCAGAAUAAUGCUAGCAGCAGUGUAGUGCAACAGUCUGGCAGUGAAUGAUAAGCAGAGCUGGUUUUAAGUACUGUAGAUGAGGGUGAUGAAGGUAACGAGCGACAGGUGUAUCAGUUAGAUUUUUGUUUGGCCAUGCCUACUCCUGAGAGGAAGUAAGAAGAGUUAUUAUGCACACACACACACACACACUGAGGCUAGGGAGAGGUAGACAGAGCAGUAGCAGAGAGACAGAGAGAAAGGUUGGUCAGCACUUGGAAGGCAAGACGGAGCUUAACACAAGGACCUUAGCUUGUGGACAAGAGAAGUCAGAGUACAUUCAUGCUCCAAGACUGAAAAAAACCCUAGAAAUCUCACACCAGUCCUCGGUUCAUUCAUGCUUUGCAAGUGUGUGUACCAGUUCCAGUACCACAUUCAUAUAACCAAGCCUGUCUUCAGUGAAUUGUAUGAGCCAGUACUGCCACCUACUGCCUGAUGCGUGCUUUUCAGCCUGGCUAACAAAUGCUGAUUUUUUUUCUUUCUCCCAAGGUAACUCUUUAGUUUUGCUCAUGAAACACUACUAAAAUCAGGUCGACCAAGCCUACUGACCUGCGUCACACCUCACUUAACCCCGCAAUAUGUAUUACUGUGUGAAAAUCUACUUUCCAAGCUUCAUUUGAAUCAAAAUGUUUUUUCUUUGUUUACACUCUUUGACAAAUCUAUAUGUGAAAAAUUCUGACAUGUGAUACUCUGUUCUUUUUUGUAGAGUAAUAAGGUCACAAUCUACAUGUGAUUUCAAAAUAAAAUAAUAACAAUGAAGAUGACUGAUAACCUCCCCUCUUUACGCAUACCCAGCCACAUAACAGAAUCAGAGACAGCAGUAAGUCCAGCCAGCCAGCCUGUUCAGUUAAACAGUUAUUUAUUCUGUAAGAGAGUAUGGACAUUAUCAACAGUCUAGUAACAAAUAGGUUACCAUUCAGCCAUUCAGAAGUAUUUCCAUUAUUACAUAUUAUGUACAAUUUUGUGCCAGAUUUGAAGUAAAAUGUCAAAUGCUGACACUAAACCUAUGAAGUGACUAUAAUGCAUCAGUGCGAAGUAUGAGAAGUAUAGGACGAUGUAAAAUCAAAGUGUGCACUACGGUCUUUUAGAGGUGUAGAAAAUGUUUAAAAACUGGCACAUUUUUCACAUCAACACUGUUAACAUAAAGUACAUCCAGUACUACAUAAACUGAGAAAAAAAAUUAAUAAGGAAGACUCAAUAAAGUUUUGUCAUAAAAAAACAAAACAAUUUCUUUUUUUUGUAGGUUGUGGUUUAUGGUCUCUAAACACUAACCAUUUGAUUGAUUUGAUAUUGCAAAUGCAAGAUUACGAUGAUGACGUUAGGGUUUGCGUUUACAAUUUUGUCCACAGUGCCAAAAUUUCUCAGUUUAUCAAGAUGUAGAGCUUUUCCUACCCAGAAGGCUACUGUGCCACCCUUAAAAAUCAAAAUGAAAUUCUGACACAAACGCAGA